rnacentral:rRNA from 1 species
AUGGAGCCGACCUUGAAAUACCACCCUUUAAUGUUUGAUGUUCUAACGUUGACCCGUAAUCCGGGUUGCGGACAGUGUCUGGUGGGUAGUUUGACUGGGGCGGUCUCCUCCUAAAGAGUAACGGAGGAGCACGAAGGUUGGCUAAUCCUGGUCGGACAUCAGGAGGUUAGUGCAAUGGCAUAAGCCAGCUUGACUGCGAGCGUGACGGCGCGAGCAGGUGCGAAAGCAGGUCAUAGUGAUCCGGUGGUUCUGAAUGGAAGGGCCAUCGCUCAACGGAUAAAAGGUACUCCGGGGAUAACAGGCUGAUACCGCCCAAGAGUUCAUAUCGACGGCGGUGUUUGGCACCUCGAUGUCGGCUCAUCACAUCCUGGGGCUGAAGUAGGUCCCAAGGGUAUGGCUGUUCGCCAUUUAAAGUGGUACGCGAGCUGGGUUUAGAACGUCGUGAGACAGUUCGGUCCCUAUCUGCCGUGGGCGC